GAGCCAUUAGACAGUGUGUGUGUAUAGAGUUAUUAGACAGUGUGUGUGUGUGUGUAUAGAGCUAUUAGACAGUGUGUGUGUGUAUAGAGCUAUUAGACAGUGUGUGUGUGUGUAUAGAGCUAUUAGACAGUGUGUGUGUAUAGAGCUAUUAGACAGUGUGUGUGUGUAUAGAGCUAUUAGACAGUGUGUGUGUAUAGAGCUAUUAGUGUGUGUGUAUAGAGCUAUUAGACAGUGUGUGUGUAUAGAGCUAUUAGACAGUGUGUGUGUAUAGAGCUAUUAGUGUGUGUGUAUAGAGCUAUUAGACAGUGUGUGUGUAUAGAGCUAUUAGACAGUGUGUGUGUAUAGAGCUAUUAGUGUGUGUGUAUAGAGCUAUUAGACAGUGUGUGUGUGUGUGUAUAGAGCCAUUAGACAGUGUGUGUGUAUAGAGCUAUUAGACAGUGUGUGUGUAUAGAGCUAUUAGACAGUGUGUGUAUAGAGCUAUUAGACAGUGUGUGUAUAGAGCUAUUAGACAGUGUGUGUAUAGAGCUAUUAGACAGUGUGUGUGUAUAGAGCUAUUAGACAGUGUGUGU